AUAAAAUCUUUGGAAAAAAAAAAAAAAGGCAAACGUGCUUGCCACUGCCCCCGGAAUCCAGGCCGCAGACAGCAGGUUGGAAGGACAUCAGGUCCCCGGCUGAUUGGCAGCCGCGGAGAGGCAGCUUUAGCAUCUUCGUCUCGGCCCCCGGCUGGGGGCGCGGGGUCGUUCUCGGGAGCCAGCCGCCUCGCCCUCCGCCCGGUGGGGCUGCAGGGGGCGCAGGGCCACGAAGCCGGGCCCGGAGCCCGAGCCGCGCGCCCACAACCUGGCAGAGCGCCGGGAGCCGCAGCCUCCAGACCCGAGCGCGCAGGCGGCAGAACGCGCGGAGGGGCGGGCGCCAGCGAGCCCAGCCCCAGGGGCCGCGCCCGCGCCCGGGCUUCAAGGGCACCGCGGGGCCGCGCCGACGCCGACCCGAGCCUCGGGAUCCACCGCCCAGCGCCCCGCCCCCGCCAGGGCCCCGCCCCGCCCGACCUGCCCAGGGCCCCACUCCGCCCACUCAGGGCCCCGCCCGGCGCCCAACCCGCCCACCCUGCCCAGCGCCCCGCCCACCCAGGGCCCCGCCCCGCCCUGCCCGGAGCCCCGCCCACCCAGGCCCCGCCCCCACCUGCCCGCGCCCCCGCCCACCCAGGGCCCCGCCCCCACCUGCCCCGCGCCCCGCCCACCCAGGGCCCCGCCCACCCCAUGCCCCGCCCCCACCUGCCCAGCGCCCCCGCCCACCUCAGGCCCCGCUCCACCCCCCGCCCCGCCCUGCCCAGCGCCCCGCCCACCCCAGGGCCCCGCCCACCCAGGGCCCCGCCCCCGCCCCGGCCUGCCCGGCGCCCCGCCCACCCCAGGCCCCGCCCCCACCUGGCCAGCGCCCCCGCCCACCCCAGGCCCGGCCCACCCAGGGCCCCGCCCCGCCCGCCGCCUGUCCCGGCCCGGGCCGCCCGCCGCCGUCACUCUUCUCAGCUGUCGCGGCAGCGGACGCGGGGACUCCGGCUCCGAGGUCAGUGGGCCCCGAAACCCGACUUUAUUCCCGCAGGGCGCGGGUCGGGACGGGUGGGACCGCGGUGGUGCGGCUGUCGCGGGCCCCGCUGGGGGGGGGGGGGGGCUCCCGGCCGGCGACCCGCCCCGGCCCCGCCGCGCGUGGGCUGCCCGGUCGGCACCCUGCCCUCGGGAAUGCCUCGACGGAAGCUCGAAAUGCCCCCGAGCUCGGGCCCGCGACCUCCAGCUAAUCCAUUGGUUUCUGGGAACGAUUUCCAACCUCAGCGGCAUCGACGCAGGUGCAGCCCCGUGAGCUGGGGUAAGUAA
rnacentral:lncRNA from 1 species